AUGCAGUCGAACGGGGCACGAGAGCAAUCGUGGUGGCGAGUGGCGAACGGGUGAGUAAUAUAUCGGAACGUGCCCCGGCGUGGGGGAUAACGCAUGCCAACGGUGUGCUGAUACCGCAUACCGAUCUAUGGAUGAAAACGGGAGACGCGGACGAUCCUCGCGCGAUUGAAGCGAUCUAUAUCGAAUUAAUUUGCUGGUGGGGUAGAAACCCACCUAGGCGACGCAUCUGAUACCUGGUCUUGACAGGACAGACCAGACCACACUGGAAGUGAUAGACGGCUCCAGACUCCUACGGGAGGCAGGAAUGGGGAAUUUUGGACGAUGGGCGCACGCCUGAUCCAUCCAUGCCGCGUGCAGGAUGAAGGCCUUCGGGCUGUAAACUGCUUUUGUACGGAACGAAGCGGCUCUUUCUAGUAAAGACGGCUGAUGACGGUACCGUAAGAAUAAGCACCGGCUAACUACGUGCCAGCAGCCGCGCUAAUACGUACGGAGCGAGCGUUAAUCGAACUUACUGGCCGUAAAGCGUGCGCACGCGGUUAUAUAAUACAGAUGUAAAAUCCCUGGGCUCAAUCUGGCAGCUGCAUGUGUGACUGUAUAGCUAGAGUACGGCACAGGGAGAUGGAAUUCCUCGCGUAGCAGCGAAAUGCAUACAUAUGCGGAGGAACACCGAUGGGGAACGAAAUCCCCUGGACGUGUAAUGACUCUCAUGCACGAGAGCAUGCGUGAGCAAACAGGAUUAGAUACCCUGGCAGUCCACGCCCUACACGAUGUCUACUGACUGGUGGGUCGUCACUGACUCACUAACUAUACUAACGCGUGAAGUUGACCCC
rnacentral:rRNA from 1 species